AGGUCACACUUGGAGUUCAAGGUCAAAUGCUUGUCCAGGUCAUAACUUUAUCAUUUAUUGUGAGAUUUAAAAAUCAUUCGGCAAAUUUGUUCAUUGGACGCAGGUCGCGCGAAAGAAUUACGUCGAUAUCUCCAAGGUUAGGGUCAGACUAUGAGUUCAAAAAUCAAAAUGGCCAUACAUGAGCUUGUCCGGGCAAUAACUUUGUCGUUCAUUGUGAGAUUUUAAAAUCAUUUGGCACAUUUGUUCACCAUCAUUGCACGGUGUGUCGCGCGAAAGAAUUACGUUGAUAUCUCCAAGGUCAAGGUCACAUUUUAAGUUCAAAGGUCAAAAAUUGCCAUAAAUGAGCUUGCCCGGGCCAUAACCAUGUCAUUCAUUGUGAGAUUUUAAAAUCAUUUGGCACAUUUGUUCAUUAUCAUUGGACUGUGUGUCGCGCGAACGAAUUACGUCGAUAUCUCCAAGUUCAAGGUCACACUGUGAGUUCAAAGGUCAAAAAUGGCCAUAAAUGAUCUUGUCCGGGCCAUAACUAUGUCAUUCAUUGUGAGAUUUUUAAAUUACUACGUACAUUUGUUCACAAUCAUUGGGCAAUGUGUCAUGCGAAAGAACUACGUCGAUAUCUCCAAGGUCAAGGUCACACUUGGAGUUCAAAAUUGAAAAAUGGAAAUUAAUAAGCUUGUCCGGGCCGUAACUAUGUCAUUCAUUGUGAGAUUUUAAAAUGACUCUGUACAUUAAUUGUGUUCACAGUCGUGUCAUGCGAAUAAAUGCAAGAGUUCAAAGGUCAAAAUGGCCAUAAAUAAUAAUGGCAUAAUAAUUCUUAAAAUCGCCAUAAAUUAGAUUGUUUUGUUAUGUGAAGUCGGCAUGCAAAAUAGUCUGUGUCAAUGCGACACGUGGAGGUAUACGUCACGUCUGUGACGAAGCUCUAGUUCAGUUUGAACUUUGUCAAGCUUUGGCUGAUAAACUACUUAUAUGUG